rnacentral:rRNA from 1 species
CCAGACUCCUACGGGAGGCAGCAGUGGGGGAUAUUGCACAAUGGGGGGAACCCUGAUGCAGCGACGCCGCGUGAGGGAAGACGGCCUUCGGGUUGUAAACCUCUGUCGCAGGGGACGAAGGAGAUGACGGUACCCUGUGAGGAAGCCACGGCUAACUACGUGCCAGCAGCCGCGGUAAUACGUAGGUGGCGAGCGUUGUCCGGAAUUACUGGGUGUAAAGGGAGCGUAGGCGGGAUGGCAAGUAGAAUGUUAAAUCCAUCGGCUCAACCGGUGGCUGCGUUCUAAACUGCCGUUCUUGAGUGAAGUAGAGGCAGGCGGAAUUCCUAGUGUAGCGGUGAAAUGCAUAGAUAUUAGGAGGAACACCAGUGGCGAAGGCGGCCUGCUGGGCUUUAACUGACGCUGAGGCUCGAAAGCGUGGGGAGCAAACAGGAUUAGAUACCCUGGUA